CAACUACUCCCUCCGUCCGGAAAUACUCGUCAUCAAAAUGGAUAAAAGAAGAUGUAUCUAGACAUAUUUUAGUUCUAGAUACGUCCUUUUUUCUCCAUUUUGAUGACAAGUAUUUCCGGACGGAGGGAGUACUUA
rnacentral:pre_miRNA from 1 species